rnacentral:rRNA from 1 species
AUUGAACGCUGGCGGCAUGCCUUACACAUGCAAGUCGAACGGGGUUGAGGAGCUUGCUCUUCAAUCUAGUGGCGAACGGGUGAGUAAAGCAUCGGAACGUACCCGGGAGUGGGGGAUAACGUAGCGAAAGUUACGCUAAUACCGCAUAUUCUGGGAGCAGGAAAGCAGGGGACCGCAAGGCCUUGUGCUUCCGGAGCGGCCGAUGUCGGAUUAGCUAGUUGGUGAGGUAAAGGCUCACCAAGGCGACGAUCCGUAGCUGGUCUGAGAGGAUGAUCAGCCACACUGGGACUGAGACACGGCCCAGACUCCUACGGGAGGCAGCAGUGGGGAAUUUUGGACAAUGGGGGCAACCCUGAUCCAGCCAUGCCGCGUGAGUGAAGAAGGCCUUCGGGUUGUAAAGCUCUUUCGCGAGGGAAGAAAACGCACUCUCUAAUACAGGGUGUGGAUGACGGUACCUUGAUAAGAAGCACCGGCUAACUACGUGCCAGCCGCCGCAGUAA